AGAGUUUGAUCCUGGCUCAGAUGAACGCUGGCGGCAUCCCUAACACAUGCAAGUCGAACGGCAGCAUGGUCUAGCUUGCUAGACUGAUGGCGAGUGGCGCACGGGUGAGUAAUGCGUAGGAAUAUGCCUUGAAGUGGGGGAUAACUUGGGGAAACUCAAGCUAAUACCGCAUAAGCUCUAAGGAGGAAAGCUGGGGACCUUCGGGCCUGGCGCUUUAGAUUAGCCUACGUCCGAUUAGCUAGUUAGGNNAAAGCCUACNNAGGCGACGAUCAGCUCUGAGAGGAUGAUCAGCCACACUGGGACUGAGACACGGCCCAGACUCUACGGGAGGCAGCAGUGGGGAAUAUUGGACAAUGGGGGCAACCCUGAUCCAGCGAUGCCGCGUGUGUGAAGAAGGCCUACGGGUUGUAAAGCACUUUCGGUGGGGAGGAGGGUUUGUAGGUUAAGAGCUAACGAGCUGGACGUUACCCACAAAAGAAGCACCGGCUAACUCCGUGCCAGCAGCCGCGGUAAUACGGAGGGUGCAAGCGUUAAUCGGAAUUACUGGGCGUAAAGGGUGCGUAGGCGGUUGUAUAAGUUAAGUGUGAAAGUCCCGGGCUUAACCUGGGGAAGUCACUUAAGACUGUAUGACUGGAGUAUGGGAGAGGGUAGUGGAAUUUCCGGUGUAGCGGUGAAAUGCGUAGAGAUCGGAAGGAACACCAGUGGCGAAGGCGGCUACCUGGCCCAAUACUGACGCUGAAGUACGAAAGCGUGGGGAGCAAACAGGAUUAGAUACCCUAGUAGUCC
rnacentral:rRNA from 1 species